UAUGUUUAAUUUAAAGAGGGUCCAGUAGUGUCCUGGCACAUGAUCUGGAUUGCCAUAGAUAACCAUCUACCUCACAGCUAGGGUUGCUCUUUAGAAUCUUGCAAAAUCAUUUGUUUACUCUUGACAAAAGUUAAGAAAACAAGCCCAUCAGAGUUGUUUGUUCUGUCAGCAUGUUAGAAGAUGGUUUUGUUGCAAUGAUAAUCGUUGUGCAAAGAAGACUGAUGAUGAUUUUUUUUUACAUUUUCUUAACAGUAUUUGCUAUUUAGAAUGAAUGUUGUCUAAUUAUUUAGCCAUUUUAUUUUGUAAAAUUUAUGUUGUAGGCAUAUUUAGACCAAGUUAUAAGAAAAUGCUUCAGCCAAAAUUAAGUGUUGAGUUUGAUUUGUGUAAUUGUUAGUUUCUUUACUAGUUGUUCCAUCAUUUACACAAUUAUUUCUAUUUGAAAUGCAGUAAUUGUUCAGAACUUAUAUUUCUAUACUGAUGUCUACUAACAGCUUUAGAUCAAAUAUUAAAUAACUCAAGAAUAAUGAGAUGAUCUUGGCUUACUUAGAUAUUUGGUUUUUAUAUCUAUAGAACAAAGGAAUUAGAAAAUAAUUUUGAAGAUUUCAUCCAGCUAUGUAAAACUAUCUAGGGAAUACAUUUACUAGGUUUUCAAUUUUCUACAAAACAUCUUUCAGCAGAAAGCAAUCCUGUUUCCUGAUAUACAAUGUCUGAUACAUAGAAACUACUCAGUACAUAAUUCCUGAAUUGAUUAUUCUUUUGGAAAUCCUAGAUUUGAUUUCUGAACAAUCAUAAACAUUUAAUGGCAUGAAAUUACCCAGAUUCCAUGGUUCUGGAAUACAUAACUUCAAGCAAUAAGAUGCAAGAUAGAAACAUAUAAGACAUUCUUUGCUAUUUUAGCCACAAAUCAUCAAAAUGACGAGGAUUUUGACAGCUUUCAAAGUGGUGAGGACACUGAAGACUGGUUUUGGCUUUACCAAUGUGACUGCACACCAAAAAUGGAAAUUUUCAAGACCUGGCAUCAGGCUCCUUUCUGUCAAGGCACAGACAGCACACAUUGUCCUGGAAGAUGGAACUAAGAUGAAAGGUUACUCCUUUGGCCAUCCAUCCUCUGUUGCUGGUGAAGUGGUUUUUAAUACUGGCCUGGGAGGGUACCCAGAAGCUAUUACUGACCCUGCCUACAAAGGACAGAUUCUCACAAUGGCCAACCCUAUUAUUGGGAAUGGUGGAGCUCCUGAUACUACUGCUCUGGAUGAACUGGGACUUAGCAAAUAUUUGGAGUCUAAUGGAAUCAAGGUUUCAGGUUUGCUGGUGCUGGAUUAUAGUAAAGACUACAACCACUGGCUGGCUACCAAGAGUUUAGGGCAAUGGCUACAGGAAGAAAAGGUUCCUGCAAUUUAUGGAGUGGACACAAGAAUGCUGACUAAAAUAAUUCGGGAUAAGGGUACCAUGCUUGGGAAGAUUGAAUUUGAAGGUCAGCCUGUGGAUUUUGUGGAUCCAAAUAAACAGAAUUUGAUUGCUGAGGUUUCAACCAAGGAUGUCAAAGUGUACGGCAAAGGAAACCCCACAAAAGUGGUAGCUGUAGACUGUGGGAUUAAAAACAAUGUAAUCCGCCUGCUAGUAAAGCGAGGAGCUGAAGUGCACUUAGUUCCCUGGAACCAUGAUUUCACCAAGAUGGAGUAUGAUGGGAUUUUGAUCGCGGGAGGACCGGGGAACCCAGCUCUUGCAGAACCACUAAUUCAGAAUGUCAGAAAGAUUUUGGAGAGUGAUCGCAAGGAGCCAUUGUUUGGAAUCAGUACAGGAAACUUAAUAACAGGAUUGGCUGCUGGUGCCAAAACCUACAAGAUGUCCAUGGCCAACAGAGGGCAGAAUCAGCCUGUUUUGAAUAUCACAAACAAACAGGCUUUCAUUACUGCUCAGAAUCAUGGCUAUGCCUUGGACAACACCCUCCCUGCUGGCUGGAAACCACUUUUUGUGAAUGUCAACGAUCAAACAAAUGAGGGGAUUAUGCAUGAGAGCAAACCCUUCUUCGCUGUGCAGUUCCACCCAGAGGUCACCCCGGGGCCAAUAGACACUGAGUACCUGUUUGAUUCCUUUUUCUCACUGAUAAAGAAAGGAAAAGCUACCACCAUUACAUCAGUCUUACCGAAGCCAGCACUAGUUGCAUCUCGGGUUGAGGUUUCCAAAGUCCUUAUUCUAGGAUCAGGAGGUCUGUCCAUUGGUCAGGCUGGAGAAUUUGAUUACUCAGGAUCUCAAGCUGUAAAAGCCAUGAAGGAAGAAAAUGUCAAAACUGUUCUGAUGAACCCAAACAUUGCAUCAGUCCAGACCAAUGAGGUGGGCUUAAAGCAAGCGGAUACUGUCUACUUUCUUCCCAUCACCCCUCAGUUUGUCACAGAGGUCAUCAAGGCAGAACAGCCAGAUGGGUUAAUUCUGGGCAUGGGUGGCCAGACAGCUCUGAACUGAGUGGAACUAUUCAAGAGAGGUGUGCUCAAGGAAUAUGGUGUGAAAGUCCUGGGAACUUCAGUUGAGUCCAUUAUGGCUACGGAAGACAGGCAGCUGUUUUCAGAUAAACUAAAUGAGAUCAAUGAAAAGAUUGCUCCAAGUUUUGCAGUGGAAUCGAUUGAGGAUGCACUGAAGGCAGCAGACACCAUUGGCUACCCAGUGAUGAUCCGUUCCGCCUAUGCACUGGGUGGGUUAGGCUCAGGCAUCUGUCCCAACAGAGAGACUUUGAUGGACCUCAGCACAAAGGCCUUUGCUAUGACCAACCAAAUUCUGGUGGAGAAGUCAGUGACAGGUUGGAAAGAAAUAGAAUAUGAAGUGGUUCGAGAUGCUGAUGACAAUUGUGUCACUGUCUGUAACAUGGAAAAUGUUGAUGCCAUGGGUGUUCACACAGGUGACUCAGUUGUUGUGGCUCCUGCCCAGACACUCUCCAAUGCCGAGUUUCAGAUGUUGAGACGUACUUCAAUCAAUGUUGUUCGCCACUUGGGCAUUGUGGGUGAAUGCAACAUUCAGUUUGCCCUUCAUCCUACCUCAAUGGAAUACUGCAUCAUUGAAGUGAAUGCCAGACUGUCCCGAAGCUCUGCUCUGGCCUCAAAAGCCACUGGCUACCCAUUGGCAUUCAUUGCUGCAAAGAUUGCCCUAGGAAUCCCACUUCCAGAAAUUAAGAACGUCGUAUCCGGGAAGACAUCAGCCUGUUUUGAACCUAGCCUGGAUUACAUGGUCACCAAGAUUCCCCGCUGGGAUCUUGACCGUUUUCAUGGAACAUCUAGCCGAAUUGGUAGCUCUAUGAAAAGUGUAGGAGAGGUCAUGGCUAUUGGUCGUACCUUUGAGGAGAGUUUCCAGAAAGCUUUACGGAUGUGCCACCCAUCUAUAGAAGGUUUCACUCCCCGUCUCCCAAUGAACAAAGAAUGGCCAUCUAAUUUAGAUCUUAGAAAAGAGUUGUCUGAACCAAGCAGCACGCGUAUCUAUGCCAUUGCCAAGGCCAUUGAUGACAACAUGUCCCUUGAUGAGAUUGAGAAGCUCACAUACAUUGACAAGUGGUUUUUGUAUAAGAUGCGUGAUAUUUUAAACAUGGAAAAGACACUGAAAGGCCUCAACAGUGAGUCCAUGACAGAAGAAACCCUGAAAAGGGCAAAGGAGAUUGGGUUCUCAGAUAAGCAGAUUUCAAAAUGCCUUGGGCUCACUGAGGCCCAGACAAGGGAGCUGAGGUUAAAGAAAAACAUCCACCCUUGGGUUAAACAGAUUGAUACACUGGCUGCAGAAUACCCAUCAGUAACAAACUAUCUCUAUGUUACCUACAAUGGUCAGGAGCAUGAUGUCAAUUUUGAUGACCAUGGAAUGAUGGUGCUAGGCUGUGGUCCAUAUCACAUUGGCAGCAGUGUGGAAUUUGAUUGGUGUGCUGUCUCUAGUAUCCGCACACUGCGUCAACUUGGCAAGAAGACGGUGGUGGUGAAUUGCAAUCCUGAGACUGUGAGCACAGACUUUGAUGAGUGUGACAAACUGUACUUUGAAGAGUUGUCCUUGGAGAGAAUCCUAGACAUCUACCAUCAGGAGGCAUGUGGUGGCUGCAUCAUAUCAGUUGGAGGCCAGAUUCCAAACAACCUGGCAGUUCCUCUAUACAAGAAUGGUGUCAAGAUCAUGGGCACAAGCCCCCUGCAGAUCGACAGGGCUGAGGAUCGCUCCAUCUUCUCAGCUGUCUUGGAUGAGCUGAAGGUGGCUCAGGCACCUUGGAAAGCUGUUAAUACUUUGAAUGAAGCACUGGAAUUUGCAAAGUCUGUGGACUACCCCUGCUUGUUGAGGCCUUCCUAUGUUUUGAGUGGGUCUGCUAUGAAUGUGGUAUUCUCUGAGGAUGAGAUGAAAAAAUUCCUAGAAGAGGCGACUAGAGUUUCUCAGGAGCACCCAGUGGUGCUGACAAAAUUUGUUGAAGGGGCCCGAGAAGUAGAAAUGGACGCUGUUGGCAAAGAUGGAAGGGUUAUCUCUCAUGCCAUCUCUGAACAUGUUGAAGAUGCAGGUGUCCACUCGGGAGAUGCCACUCUGAUGCUGCCCACACAAACCAUCAGCCAAGGGGCCAUUGAAAAGGUGAAGGAUGCUACCCGGAAGAUUGCAAAGGCUUUUGCCAUCUCUGGUCCAUUCAACGUCCAAUUUCUUGUCAAAGGAAAUGAUGUCUUGGUGAUUGAGUGUAACUUGAGAGCUUCUCGAUCCUUCCCCUUUGUUUCCAAGACUCUUGGGGUUGACUUCAUUGAUGUGGCCACCAAGGUGAUGAUUGGAGAGAAUGUUGAUGAGAAACAUCUUCCAACAUUGGACCAUCCCAUAAUUCCUGCUGACUAUGUUGCAAUUAAGGCUCCCAUGUUUUCCUGGCCCCGGUUGAGGGAUGCUGACCCCAUUCUGAGAUGUGAGAUGGCUUCCACUGGAGAGGUGGCUUGCUUUGGUGAAGGUAUUCAUACAGCCUUCCUAAAGGCAAUGCUUUCCACAGGAUUUAAGAUACCCCAGAAAGGCAUCCUGAUAGGCAUCCAGCAAUCAUUCCGGCCAAGAUUCCUUGGUGUGGCUGAACAAUUACACAAUGAAGGUUUCAAGCUGUUUGCCACGGAAGCCACAUCAGACUGGCUCAACGCCAACAAUGUCCCUGCCACCCCAGUGGCAUGGCCGUCUCAAGAAGGACAGAAUCCCAGCCUCUCUUCCAUCAGAAAAUUGAUUAGAGAUGGCAGCAUUGACCUAGUGAUUAACCUUCCCAACAACAACACUAAAUUUGUCCAUGAUAAUUAUGUGAUUCGGAGGACAGCUGUUGAUAGUGGAAUCCCUCUCCUCACUAAUUUUCAGGUGACCAAACUUUUUGCUGAAGCUGUGCAGAAAUCUCGCAAGGUGGACUCCAAGAGUCUUUUCCACUACAGGCAGUACAGUGCUGGAAAAGCAGCAUAGAGAUGCAGACACCCCAGCCCCAUUAUUAAAUCAACCUGAGCCACAUGUUAUCUAAAGGAACUGAUUCACAACUUUCUCAGAGAUGAAUAUUGAUAACUAAACUUCAUUUCAGUUUACUUUGUUAUGCCUUAAUAUUCUGUGUCUUUUGCAAUUAAAUUGUCAGUCACUUCUUCAAAACCUUACAGUCCUUCCUAAGUUACUCUUCAUGAGAUUUCAUCCAUUUACUAAUACUGUAUUUUUGGUGGACUAGGCUUGCCUAUGUGCUUAUGUGUAGCUUUUUACUUUUUAUGGUGCUGAUUAAUGGUGAUCAAGGUAGGAAAAGUUGCUGUUCUAUUUUCUGAACUCUUUCUAUACUUUAAGAUACUCUAUUUUUAAAACACUAUCUGCAAACUCAGGACACUUUAACAGGGCAGAAUACUCUAAAAACUUGAUAAAAUUAAAUAUAGAUUUAAUUUAUGAACCUUCCAUCAUGAUGUUUGUGUAUUGCUUCUUUUUGGAUCCUCAUUCUCACCCAUUUGGCUAAUCCAGGAAUAUUGUUAUCCCUUCCCAUUAUAUUGAAGUUGAGAAAUGUGACAGAGGCAUUUAGAGUAUGGACUUUUCUUUUCUUUUUCUUUUUCUUUUUUUCUUUUUGAGAUGGAGUCACACUCUCCAGGCUGGAGUGCAGUGGCACAAUCUCGGCUCACUGCAAUUUCCGUCUCCCAAGUUCAAGCGAUUCUCCUGCUUUAGACUAUGGAUUUCUUUAAGGAAUACUGGUUUGCAGUUUUGUUUUCUGGACUAUAUCAGCAGAUGGUAGACAGUGUUUAUGUAGAUGUGUUGUUGUUUUUAUCAUUGGAUUUUAACUUGGCCCGAGUGAAAUAAUCAGAUUUUUGUCAUUCACACUCUCCCCCAGUUUUGGAAUAACUUGGAAGUAAGGUUCAUUCCCUUAAGACGAUGGAUUCUGUUGAACUAUGGGGUCCCACACUGCACUAUUAAUUCCACCCACUGUAAGGGCAAGGACACCAUUCCUUCUACAUAUAAGAAAAAAGUCUCUCCCCAAGGGCAGCCUUUGUUACUUUUAAAUAUUUUCUGUUAUUACAAGUGCUCUAAUUGUGAACUUUUAAAUAAAAUACUAUUAAGAGGUAA